rnacentral:rRNA from 1 species
CCUACGGGAGGCUGCAGUAGGGAAUAUUGCUCAAUGGGGGAAACCCUGAAGCAGCAACGCCGCGUGGAGGAUGAAGGUUUUCGGAUUGUAAACUCGUUUUGUUAGAGAAGAUAAUGACGGUAUCUAACGAAUAAGCACCGGCUAACUCCGUGCCAGCAGCCGCGGUAAUACGGAGGGUGAAAGCGUUACUCGGAAUCACUGGGCGUAAAGAGCGCGUAGGCGGGAUAGCAAGUCAGAUGUGAAAUCCUAUGGCUUAACCAUAGAACUGCAUGUGAAACUGUUAUUCUAGAGUGUGGGGUAGGUAGGUGGAAUUCUUGGUGUAGGGGUAAAAUCCGUAGAGAUCAAGAGGAAUACUCAUUGCGAAGGCGACCUGCUAGAACAUAACUGACGCUGAUGCGCGAAAGCGUGGGGAGCAAACAGGAUUAGAUACCCGAGUAGUC